AAGAAAUAAAAGGAGGGAAGGGAAAGUAGUAAGGAGACAUGGGAAGAGAUGGAAAUAUGGAAGUGGUGGAAGAAGAAGGUCUUCAUGUUCUUGCCCACCAAGAUUAUGAUUUUAAAAAUGGGUCACAAGACCAAAGGAGAAGGGCAUGGAUUGGUGAAGCUUUACAAGGAGAUAGAGUCAUGCAGUGGGUAUUCUGAUAUCCAAGUAAUGUGGGAUAUGAUCAACUCCUCUUAUCCUCCUCCCAAACUACACAACAAUCCCAACAGAUGGUUUUCUUGGAAGUUUUGCUUUAGGCCCACUUGAAAGGACGGUCUAGAUUACUCUCUUUUAUCAAUGUUUUGAUCUCCUAAGGUGUUUUAUGUGGCGCCCGAGUGGGCCCACCUAUGAUUACUAGACCAUUGAAUAAGUGAGGGCCACCAGUGAUUGCAAAUGGUUCCAAUAUUGCCCUGAUCGGAUGAACACAACCAUUCAAAUAACUGCCAACAAAAUGGACGGUGAGAUUGGCUUUAUUCUGGCUGUAAAUCUUGCAUGUGCUUAAUUGUAAGGCUGUGAUCAUCCAAUCAUGGUUAUUUUGGGGUCAUGUGCAAUGAACAGUGUAUCCAUCUUAUCCAACAGAUCGAUCCUAGGUGGGCCACUUGGGCCUUACACAGGAAUUCACACCUUAAUAAUGUAGGAAGGAUCCGUACCAGAUCAUAGCUCACCAUUUCCCAUCGUUGAAUCAUUUUUGGCCCAUGAGAUGUAAUUCCUUUGUGUAAAUAUCAUUAUCUUGGUUUUGUGUGAAAUGUGAGGAUACAUGGAUUCUAGAUAGUC